CACUACUGACACUACUACCUUUGAUGUCAGUGCCCAUGUCAGCUGACUGGCUGUUGCUAUGAGGCAACCCAGCUACCAUAGGUUCUUGUUACUUGUAAACAAAUGUAAGCCAUGUAUUGAAUUUUAGUAUGCAUUACAUUAACUAAACCACAUUUUGAAAACCAGUGGAAACGCAUUUCACCGCAAGACUCCAAGGGUGAGUCCUGACAAGCGCGCAUAUGUAGGGGCUCGUGUUUCCCACAGGACAAAUAGCAGUGGCACACCCCUGUACACGCACUCUGACUUAGAAGCAAUGGAGCCUUUGUAUUUGUAUGACAUCAGCACUCUAAUAAACAGCAAAACCACUGAGAGAAUUAUUUCAUCCAUGGCUGCUCAGCUUUGCCAUCUCAUUAUAGCAAUGGAGUGGGAAGGUGUGGAUAAUGAGGCCUUUCCUGACUUAAGGAAGACUGCAGAAGAAUUAGCUAAAUCUACUGAAGAACUUGCUUUUGCUGCAAGAAGGGUGGCUGAGGAGUCCAACGAUGAAGUGCUGAGAGGCGAGAUGUGUCCUGCAGCUGAAUCUGUCCUCUUGUCUGGCAAGAGUACUUUACUAGCAGCCCAGAAACUUAACAUUCAGCCAGAGAUCCAGAGCCAUAAGGAGGAACUGAUUGUCUCAGCACAAAGGGUCUUGAUGGAGACAAUGCGGGUGAGUGCAAUGUUGCUGUGUCUGCUC